rfam:Felis catus isolate Cinnamon breed Abyssinian chromosome C1, whole genome shotgun sequence.
GCCUGAGUGGCUCAGUUGGUUGAGCGAUUGACUUCAGCUCAGGUCACGAUCUCAUGGUUCAUGGGUUCGAGCCCCAUGUGAGACU